rnacentral:rRNA from 1 species
UACGUAGGUGGCAAGCGUUGUCCGGAUUUACUGGGCGUAAAGAGCGCGCAGGCGGCUGGGCAAGUCCGAUGUGAAAGCUUCCGGCUUAACUGGAAAAUUGCAUCGGAAACUGCUCGGCUUGAAGGUGGGAGAGGGUAGCGGAAUUCCCGGUGUAGUGGUGAAAUGCGUAGAUAUCGGGAGGGACACCAGUGGCGAAGGCGGCUACCUGGCCCACUCUUGACGCUGAGGCGCGAAAGCUAGGGGAGCAAACGGG